UGGUUAGUUAGUGGUCACCACUAAUACAGGUCUCAGAACAUCCAGACUGGUUAGUUAGUGGUCACCACUAAUACAGGUCUCAGAACAUCCAGACUGGUUAGUGGUCACCACUAAUACAGGUCUCAUAACAUCCAGACUGGUUAGUUAGUGGUCACCACUAAUACAGGUCUCAUAACAUCCAGACUGGUUAGUGGUUACCGCUAAUACAGGUCUCAGAACAACCAGACUGGUUAGUUAGUGGUCACCGCUAAUACAGGUCUCAUAACAUCCAGACUGGUUGGUUAGUGGUCACCACUAACACAGGUCUCAGAACAUCCAGACUGGUUAGUUAGUGGUCACCACUAAUACAGGUCUCAGAACAUCCAGACUGGUUAGUUAGUGGUCACCACUAAUACAGGUCUCAGAACAUCUAGACUGGUUAGUUAGUGGUCACCACUAAUACAGGUCUAAUAACAUCCAGACUAGGUAGUGGUCACCACUAAUACAGGUCUAAUAACAUCCAGACUAGUUAGUGGUCACCACUAAUACAGGUCUCAGAACAUCCAGACUGGUUAGUUAGUGGUCACCACUAAUACAGGUCUUAGAACAUCCAGACUGGUUAGUUAGUGGUCACCACUAAUACAGGUCUCAGAACAUCCAGACUGGUUAGUUAGUGGUCACCACUAAUACAGGUCUCAUAACAUCCAGACUGGUUAGUUAGUGGUCACCAGUAAUACAGGUCUCAGAACAUCCAGACUGGUUAGUUAGUGGUCACCACUAAUACAGGUCUCAGAACAACCAGACUGGUUAGUUAGUGGUCACCACUAAUACAGGUCUCAGAACAUCCAGACUGGUUAGUUAGUGGUCACCACUAAUACAGGUCUCAGAACAUCCAGACUGGUUAGUUAGUUAGUGGUCACCACUAAUACAGGUCUCAUAACAUCCAGACUGGUUAGUUAGUGGUCACCAGUAAUACAGGUCUCAGAACAUCCAGACUGGUUAGUUAGUGGUCACCACUAAUACAGGUCUCAGAACAACCAGACUGGUUAGUUAGUGGUCACCACUAAUACAGGUCUCAGAACAUCCAGACUGGUUAGUUAGUUAGUGGUCACCACUAAUACAGGUC